UUCCUACGGGAGGCAGCAGUGAGGAAUAUUGGUCAAUGGCCGAGAGGCUGAACCAGCCAAAUCGCGUGAGGGAUGACGGCCCUACGGGUUGUAAACUUCUUUUGUCAAGGGACAAAAUCAGGCUCGAGAGCCUGACCGAGGGUACUUGAAGAAAAAGCAUCGGCUAACUCCGUGCCAGCAGCCGCGGUAAUACGGAGGAUGCGAGCGUUAUCCGGAUUUAUUGGGUUUAAAGGGUGCGUAGGCGGACUGUUAAGUCAGCGGUAAAAGCCCGGGGCUCAACCCCGGCGAGCCGUUGAAACUGGCUG
rnacentral:rRNA from 1 species